CCUACGGGAUGCAGCAGUGAGGAAUAUUGGUCAAUGGACGAGAGCCUGAACCAGCCAAGUAGCGUGAAGGAUGACUGCCCUAUGGGUUGUAAACUUCUUUUAUAAAGGAAUAAAACGAGGCACGUGUGCCUUUUUGCAUGUACUUUAUGAAUAAGGAUCGGCUAACUCCUGGCCAACAGCCGCGGUAAUACGGAGGAUCCGAGCGUUAUCCGGAUUUAUUGGGUUUAAAGGGAGCGUAGAUUGGUUGUUAAGUCCGUGGUGAAAGUUUCGGGCUCAACCGUAAAAUUGCAAUUGAGACUGGCAGUCUUGAGUACAGUAGAGGUAGGCGGAAUUCGUGGUGUAGCGGUGAAAUGCUUAGAUAUCACGAAGAACCCCGAUUGCGAAGGCAGCUUACUAAGCUGUGACUGACAUUGAUGCUCGAAAGUGUGGGUAUCAAACAGGAUUAGAUACCCGUGUAGUC
rnacentral:rRNA from 1 species